CAAGAACUCUGGCAGAGAUGUACAAUAAGGUGAAUGUUGGUUUAAUGUCUGCUAACACAACAUCCAUUCUGCAGCCCACGAAUCAAGGACUAAUUUGGACUUUCAAGUCCUGCUACUUAAGAAAUACAUUUUGUAAGGCUAUAGCU